CAGGAUUUGCUCUCUUGAGUGCACUGAUGUCAGCAGCACCACUGUCCAUACAAGUGGCGCUCAAUGUGCUGACCGCGGGACGGAGGAGAAUGCAAUCCAUGGCCACUUCUGGGGUGUGCAGUGCACAGAGGAUGCCAUGCAGCAAACACAGAGGGCCUGUCACAUGGAGCAACAUCCCCAUUUCUAUUAGUGGUGAUGAGAAGUAAUUAGUUCUACAGGGUGACACCGUUUUUGUGUGAUUUUCUUGCAAGCCUAAGAAAAUGGUGAAAUAUAUUUUCCUCUCUAGGCUCAGAACAGGGCCUAGAAAUCAGGUAAACUCUCAGAUUUCAAAAGCAUUCACCUUUUCUUAAACUCCAGGUACUACAUGAGUUUUAAUAAGGUGCAAACAGGCCUAAAAUUAAAGUAAUAUGAGUGUGAUUGUUGGCUUUUGUUUAAAUCUCUGUGGAAUCCCUCAGAUGUAGAAAGAUUCUCUUGUAGUAAAGGACAUGUCAGACAUCAUGUUGGAAGUGGUACUGACUGGAGCCCAAGUACAAAAUAAGGUGAACCUCUCUAAUGAGCUCUGUUUUGAAGCUGAAGGAAAAAACCAAAAAGAUGACAGAUAA
rnacentral:lncRNA from 1 species